CUUGAAGGUACAUCUUAAUUCAGUGAGCGAAUCCUUGAUUUUCCAAAAGGUUGAAGUGGAAUUGAUUUUCCACUUCUUGGUUUGCCCUUAUUUGGAUUGUUUCGUGGACGAUAGUUGAUUAAGGAGCUUCCCUAACUUUGAGGCAAAGGUAAUAAAGGCGACAAACCGGCGAGGGGCAGGAAGGAAGCGUGAUUGCCAUAGGGGAUAUUUUAAUUUGCUUCCGCUUAAUGUUUUGUUUCUCAUGUUUUGUUUUAGUUCUUGAGAUUGUUUAGAAAAUUUUAUAGUUGAACUGUAUUCACGAAUUAGUAAACUUUUCUUGAAAGUGUUGGCUAUUUUAAACAGGGCCCAAAUAUAAAUUUUUGUUUUCUUUGAGACUUUGAAAUUA